AAAAAGCAGCCUUAUAAUUGUCUUCCAAUUCCAUUCGGCAUCGAUAUAUAGCAACCUUUUUAAAGAAAAUAUAUUUAGUAACUCCCACCCAAAAUAAUUUCCAUAAUGGCUUUUAAAAGCCUCGGUGUUACCUCCCGUUUGAUAGUGUAAAGGUAGCCUUGUGAUUAUCUUCUUCAAUUCCCUUGGGUACGUUCGCCAUGAAGACCAUGCGUUUGGCUUUGGUUUUCUUCGUCCUUGCAGGACUCUUUGCUCAGAAUCAAUGUCAAGGCCCAGAGCCGUGCUAUAUUGACGUUUGCAUUUCUGGGCGUCCCUGCUACUGCUGCCCAGCCCAUGGACGCGGGUCACGUUGUUAUAAUACGCGAGCGGAAUGCGUGGCCGACUGCAACCCCCCUGCAGGAAACCUUUACCAGACUCCAUGAGUUCAAGAUUCGAAAUAUGCACUUGUCCUCAUGAAUAAUGAUCCAUGUGUGCUGUAAUUGCUUCACAUGCCUUUUUAGAAAGUAAUAAUAAUCCAGUUAUGUGAUAUAUUAUCAGAAAUGGCUGUCUAUCUGUACGUGAUAUAAUCCAUAACAUCACCCAACAAAACUAGCCAGAAAAUAUUA